UUCCGGAGUAUUUUAAAGGGCCCACUUCGUGUGCUUUAAGAAAUUAGUCCGUAUCCCCCCUUAAGAAAUAAAGAAAAAGGUGUUCACAGUUUUUAAACAUAAUGGAUGUUUUUUCAACGUAUAACCUCGACUACCUUCCAGAAAACAUUUUAAUUGACGUGCUGUCAUAUUUGAGCGUGCGCGAGCUUGUCAAAGCUGGGAGAGUGUGUAAGAAAUGGAGACGCCUUGUGAAGGAUCAAAAACUAUGGAGACUUGUUGACCUGACUACGUGGAGGGGGAUGACAUCCCGUAUCCUGUGGGUCCUACUGCGCCAGUAUCUGGGUUGUGGCCUACGGUGCUUACGCUUGGAGGGGUUGCUCCUCUCUGUCCGAGGAGGCACUUUCGUCUCUGAAGCUUGGCUUAAAGCAUUGUCUGCAAAAUGUCCUCGCCUGAGCAAGCUCUACCUACUGCACGCGGACUUGAGAAGCCUCCCUAGUUGCCAAUUGCUUCCGCCAUCCUUGAAGGUGCUAGAGCUGCAAGGCUGUGAACUGCCUCUGGGUUUCUUCAACCAGCAUCCACCGCCUUCAUCUCAAGGGAACGCACCGGCGACAUCAAGCGUCCAACAGAAAGAAAGGAGUCGAGAUGCGCCAUCAGGGAUUUCUAUUGAAUGUUUAAUCCUCAAAAACGUUCCCUCUUUUAAAGACCAGCACUUGCAGAGUCUGACAUCAUGGGAAAGGCUUAGUCGACUGGAGUUGUGUGACACCUUUCGUGUAACCGCAAACGGGCUCAGAGGCUGCGCUGCCAAGAAAGGAGUCUGUGGUAUGGAGGGUCUAUUCCGUCUCAAAUAUUUGGGAAUGAGCUUCACUGCACGGCAGGGCUAUCAGAGGCCCAUGGCCUCAUCGGGGCUAGGGUCAGGAUGGCUCGGACUACAGGAGCUGAGCCUCGGAGGCAAGGAAGUUUUACCCGGGCUCCUGUACGCUAGUCGCCUAAAGGACCUGAAACGUCUCUCUCUGAAGGCUUGCACUCUCGGCGAGAAGCAGAUCGUGCAUAACUGCAAAAAACUCCGUGAUCUCCACAGACUAGAGUUUUUAGAUGUGGUCUUUCAACCGCAGCUGUGCCCACCUGAGGGGGAGGACGGUGGCGAGGGUGAGCGGCAGGAAGAGGAGGAAACUGCAGGCGGCGAUAACGGCAGCAAUGAAAGCAAACCGGAUCAACUGAUCCAGAAUCUGAGUCGCUCGCUGGCUGUCCUGUUGCCGUGCUGCACACUCUCCUUCAGCAAUUGCUCUGUUCAGACAAAUCCGGAUUAAGUAAAGCAUAAGUUUAACAAAUAAGCCAUAGCACUGCUACAUGUAACUCUGGAGAGACCAAGUUUUGCAAUAGUGGAAGAUUCAAAUGUAGAAAUGGUUUGAUUGGAUCACAAUUCAGUACCUCGAAAGUACCAGUACUUCAUCACGUUGUCACUUCAUCAUCACAAUUCUUAGGCCCUAAAAUAAUUUCAUAAAUUUAGUACCAUCAUGCAAACCUCCUAGGAAAAAGUUUCCAAGCACAUUCUAUUCAGUAACUAAUUAAUUUUUGUCUGGUGCUGGUUUUCUCAUCAGAAACCUGCGUCCACAAUGUGGACACGCUUGACCUAGUGCCAUUAUUUGACAAAUGUGCUACUGUCAAGAAUGACGUCUCUGUGCAUUUCGGGAUUUUUGACUGUGUCUACACAUGUUUGUAUGUACAGAGUAAGUCUUUUUAAAAAACGUGCAGAUGUUGCUUUUUAUUUCAUCUCAUGCAUUCAUUGUAGUCCCAACAUAUAGGUUGCAUUCAAUUAUGAUAUAGAGCAGGGUCCGGAUUUAGUGAACCUUGAAAUAGAGUGUAGGCUUAUUGUAAUUUGAGUGUAAAUGCAAGUUUUGUGAAAGAUCUUCGACAACUAAAUCUACGGUUUGUGUACUAUGGAAAUCCAGGGAAAAAAAAAAGAUUUUCUAAUGAGUUCCCCACCCCACACAAAUUUAAAUAUAAUACUGUAUUAUCUAUAACCAUGCAGCCGUUGUCCUUGCCUUAAAUAAAAGUGCCAUUUUCUGUCA